rnacentral:rRNA from 1 species
GCAGCCGCGGUAAUACGUAGGUGGCAAGCGUUAUCCGGAUUUACUGGGUGUAAAGGGUGUGUAGGCGGGACGGCAAGUCGGAUGUGAAAAUCUCGGGCUCAACUCGAGACCUGCGUCCGAAACUGUCGUUCUUGAGAGUCGGAGAGGUAAACGGAAUUCCCGGUGUAGCGGUGAAAUGCGUAGAUAUCGGGAGGAACAUCUGUGGCGAAGGCGGUUUACUGGACGACAACUGACGCUGAGACACGAAAGCGUGGGGAGCAAACAGGAUUAGAUACCCC